rnacentral:rRNA from 1 species
GACGAACGCUGGCGGCGUGCUUAACACAUGCAAGUCGAGCGGAAAGGCCCUUCGGGGUACUCGAGCGGCGAACGGGUGAGUAACACGUGAGUAAUCUGCCCUUCACUCUGGGAUAACUGCCGGAAACGGUGGCUAAUACCGGAUAUGACCACUUCGCACAUGUGAUGGUGGUGGAAAGUUUUUUCGGUGGAGGAUGUGCUCGCGGCCUAUCGGCUUGUUGGUGGGGUAAUGGCCUACCAAGGCUUCGACGGGUAGCCGGCCUGAGAGGGUGACCGGCCACACUGGGACUGAGACACGGCCCAGACUCCUACGGGAGGCAGCAGUGGGGAAUAUUGGACAAUGGGCGGAAGCCUGAUCCAGCAACGCCGCGUGAGGGAUGACGGCCUUCGGGUUGUAAACCACUUUCAGUACCGACGAAGCGAGAGUGACGGUAGGUACAGAAGAAGCACCGGCCAACUACGUGCCAGCCGCCGCAGUAACAC